rnacentral:rRNA from 1 species
UACAGAGGUCUCAAGCGUUGUUCGGAUUCAUUGGGCGUAAAGGGUGCGUAGGCGGCGCGGUAAGUCGGGUGUGAAAUCUUGGAGCUUAACUCCGAAACUGCAUUCGAUACUGCCGUGCUUGAGGACUGGAGAGGAGACUGGAAUUUACGGUGUAGCGGUGAAAUGCGUAGAUAUCGUAAGGAAGACCAGUGGCGAAGGCGGGUCUCUGGACAGUCCUGACGCUGAGGCACGAAGGUCAGGGAGCAAACGGG